GUAGCGAGGGUCAGAGCGGCGACAAGAGGGAGCUUUGCCUUUGCUAGCAGAGGAAAUGCCGAAAUUCCUUUUUGUGCUUUGGGGGAAACGGUGGCACAGAGCAGAGGAGGAUUUUACUCGAGGUCAGGGGUCCUGCCUUAGGACAAAGGCAGGACUAAAGGCCUUGACAUCUGUGAACCAGAAAGAGAUUUUUAAGACUCAGCCCCACCCACAAGAAGUUCACCUUUAAAAUAACAGCAUCACAACCCACCUUGCGGAAACCCUGUGGAGAUGCUGAGAGAGAGAGAGAGAAGAGUGAGGAGCCCAUUGGAAUUGAAGAAAGUACGGGAGUUGUGAGUGACGAGCUGUAAAGAAGUAAUAGAAGAUUCACCAGGAGGGAAAGGUGGGAUUUCACCUGCUGUGAUGGGGGCUGCCAUUUCUGCCCCUUAUGAAGAACCAUGAACACGGUGUCAUCUGCCAGGGAUUGGAAAUACUCUUCUGUCUCUACAGUUGUGCCAUCUUCCUCCAGCACCAGAAAGAAAGGCUUGUCUGCCAGCAUCAGACUGUCCCGGACCUAGAGG